UAGCACAAAUCACGAAAAUGC
rnacentral:siRNA from 1 species